ACUCAGUCCACCAUGCAGAAAAUAAUGUAACUUCCUCUUGUAAAUAAUAAAACAAAAAUACAGGUAAUUAAAAGAAGUCCUCUGAUCUGGAAACUAAUUAACUUCCUCUUAUAAAUAAUAAAACAAAAAUACAGGUAAUUAAAAGAAGUCCUCUGAUCUGGAAACUAAUUAACUUCCUCUUAUAAAUAAUGGAACAAAAUACAGGUAAUUAAAAGAAAUCCUCUGGUCUGGAAACUAAUUAACUUCCUCUUGUAAAGAAUAAAACAAAAAUACAGGUAAUUAAAAGAAGUCCUCUGAUCUGGAAACUAAUGUAACUUCCUCUUGUAAAGAAUAAAACAAAAAUACAGGUAAUUAAAAGAAGUCCUCUGAUCUGGAAACUAAUUAACUUCCUCUUAUAAAUAAUAGAACAAAAUAUAGGUAAUUAAAAGAAGUCCUCUGAUCUGGAAACUAAUUAACUUCCUCUUAUAAAUAAUAGAACAAAAUACAGGUAAUUAAAAGAAGUCCUCUGAUCUGGAAACUAAUUAACUUCCUCUUGUAAAGAAUAAAACAAAAAUACAGGUAAUUAAAAGAAGUCCUGUGAUCUGGAAACUAAUUAACUUCCUCUUAUAAAUAAUAGAACAAAAUAUAGGUAAUUAAAAGAAGUCCUCUGAUCUGGAAACUAAUUAACUUCCUCUUAUAAAUAAUAGAACAAAAUACAGGUAAUUAAAAGAAGUCCUCUGAUCUGGAAACUAAUGUGUGUUCCUUUUGUAAAUAAUAAAAUGAAAUACAAAUAAUUAAAAGAAGUCCUCUGAUCUAGAACCUAAUGUAACUUCCUCUUGUAAAUAAUAGAGCCAAAUGAAAUACUGGAGCUUCUUCAAACAUAGAGUUACAGUGUUGAACUCAUGCCAAGAAAAUGAAUAGGAAAACAAUGCUAUAUCCCAAACACACAGAGGCAAACAAUCAUUGAAGGUAGUGACUGAAUAAUACUGAAUGCAGACUAAUUUUUUAACUAAUACGGAAAAAAAAAAUAAAAAUACAAAAAAUAAUACAAAAAAAAUUAUAUAUGAAAGAAUUGUAAGGAGAUGAACACCAGAAGAACAACGCUCCUUCAGAAUUUGAGGCACGACAGCGCGAGACAUUUUUUUUAUAUAUAU